rnacentral:rRNA from 1 species
CGAGAAAGCCCGCAAGGGCGAGUAAAGCGGCGCACGGGUGCGUAACACGUGGGUAAUCUGCCCUAGAGUCCGGAAUAACUCGCCGAAAGGCGUGCUAAUGCCGGAUGAGACCACGGGAGCCUCGGCUCCUGAGGGAAAAGGUGGCCUCUGUAAACAAGCUAUCGCUCUAGGAUGAGCCCGCGGCCCAUCAGCUCGUUGGCGGGGUAAUGGCCCACCAAGGCUACGACGGGUAGCUGGUCUGAGAGGACGAUCAGCCACACUGGAACUGAGACACGGUCCAGACUCCUACGGGAGGCAGCAGUGGGGAAUCUUGCGCAAUGGGCGAAAGCCUGACGCAGCAACGCCGCGUGUGUGAUGAAGGUCUUCGGAUCGUAAAGCACUGUCGCGAGGGACG